CAAAAUCGAGGGAAGGAGAGAAAAAAAAUCUCUCCCCCGGUUGCGGUCGCUACAAACCCGAAAAGAUCAUUUUGCCGGCGAAUUCGCGGCUGGGCUUUGAUCUCACCUCGCGGGUGUGCUGCCCCUGAUGCAGUGUAUAAAAAGUAUUAACCACCGCCUUAUUGAAGGAUAAUAUACGCAGAGUAGAAAAGGUUGGCAAGGAUGCUUCAUUCCAUAUAAGAGGUCAAAUGCAAGUGAGAUCAAUAUAUAUGAUUGAAGAUUUUUCUCUGGCACCCUUAGGGAUCAACAGAGGGUGCAAAUCUAUACAUGAAAAGAGACAUGGCAAAAUGCAGAGUCCAGAGUGCAGACAGUAGUACCAAAAAAGAAAGCUUAUGUACUUCCUGUUGAAAAAAAGGCAUUUGCUGAAACAAAGCACACACACUUGGUCGCACGUGCGAAGAAAGAAAGAAAGAAGAGUUCAGGUUCAGAGGAAGAUGAAGGAGGCAGCAAAUUUGAAGCAGAGUUGAGCUCAGACUUCAGAGGGGAAUCAUCAGGAGAAGAAGAGAAAUGUAGAGCCGUACUACGUUGUUUACGUCCUCGGGAGACUCGAUCUCCAAUGCAAGAAAGGAAAAGGGAACAGAUGAACAAGAGGCCUGGAGAUCGAUGCGCGCGCUUUUAGGACAUGUUGGCGUGAGCUCGUCGCAACCCCAUGCAUGCAAUUUCCCCGUCUUUUGAGGUCAGUUCUUCUCAUGGACAAUUGUUUUGGGGGGACAAGAUGAAGCAGAAUUCAAACUGCUGCCUUUCUCCUUUCGGUGUGUGUGGCCAUGAACACAGACAGAUGCUUGUAAGUUUUAAAAAAAAGAGACUACAUAAAUGCUUGGGCGUUUUAAUUUGCUCUUUCGC